AUGCACGCUGGCGGCGUGCUUUACCCCUGCAAGUCGUACGAAGCACUUUAUUUGAUUUCCUUCGGGACUGAUUAUUCUGUGACUGAGUGGCGGACGGGUGAGUAACGCGUGGGUAACCUGCCAUGUACAGGGGGAUAACAGUUGGAAACGGCUGCUAAUACCGCAUAAGCGCACAGCAUCGCAUGAUGCAGUGUGAAAAACUCCGGGGGUAUAAGAUGGACCCGCGUUGGAUUAGCUAGUUGGUGAGGUAACGGCCCACCAAGGCGACGAUCCAUAGCCGACCUGGGAGGGUGACCGGCCACAUUGGGACUGAGGCACGGCCCAGACUCCUACGGGAGGCGGCAGUGGGGAAUGUUGCACAGUGGGCGGAAGCCUGAUGGAGCGACGCCGCGUGAGCGAAGAAGUAUUUCGGUAUGUAAAGCUGUAUCAGCAGGGAAGAUAAUGACGGUACCUGACAAAGAAGCACCGGCUAAAUACGUG
rnacentral:rRNA from 1 species